CAGGUGUGAUUUGGGCAUUUUCUCAAUAUCAUCUUAAAUCUUUCCCAUGUAUCACAGAAGACUUCAUUUGCUCCUUGUCUGAACAUAGAGAUUUCAGACUUUGCUUU
rfam:Phaseolus vulgaris cultivar G19833 chromosome 5, whole genome shotgun sequence.